rnacentral:lncRNA from 12 species
GAGCCAAAAGAAUGAAUAACUCAUUCUAAGCUAUAUUUUUUUAAUUCUGUGUUUCAACUCUCUGUCAGAAAACUUCUCUGAGAAGAAGAAGAAGAAGAAGAAGAAGAAGAAGAAGAAGAAGAAGAAGAAAGAAGAAGAAGAAGAAGAAAGAAGAAAGAAAAAGAAAGAAAGAAAGAAAGAAAAAGAAAGAAAGAAAGAAAGAAAGAAAGAAAGAAAGAAAGAAAGAAAGAAAGAAAGAAAGAACUUUAGAAUGAAAGAGAAGAAGGAAGGAAGGAAGGAAGGAAGGAAGGAAGGAAGGAAGGAAGGAAGGAAGGAAGGAAAGAAGGAAGGAAGGAAGCUGCCCUGUUUCUGUUUUUACUUCAGAGCCUGGUCCAUACCACUGAGUACUUCUGCUUCUGGUCCUCUGUCUCCUUGGGAACCACCAAAAGACACACAACAAACAAACACAACCCGGAUUUUUGAAGGCAUCAAAGAACCCAGAGGCUGCUUGAAUUUGAGGAGCAAAGAUCCUUGGAGAAUGGAGGGAGGCACAGUGAAGUGAUUUGGAUCUUCUCUAUAGCUUUUUCUUGAAGACACUUGAUGAUUCACAGAGAUUGACAUUUAGUCUCAGCAGAAAGUAGCAACCUAGGAUAUAUUUACUAGUGUCAUGGGAUGAAGAGACCAAAAUUGGAACUCAGGUGCCAAGACCCUCAAGAAAAGGGAACAACAGGAAUGUGAACAUAUAAUUCCACGAGAUUUUGUUCUUGGAAUAUUUGUUAAUCCUAAAAUUCCCAGAUGUAAGAAGCAGAAAAAUCAAGCAUAAAGAAACUAAUUGCUAAAGAGCUAGGGAGAAAAUUUUUUAGCACUCUCAUAGCACUGGAUAUUAAAAAAUUGAAAUGCAGGCCUGGUCCAGACUCAGUGACCCUGGUGUAGACCCAGGCUUUCAGCUGCAACUCCUAUAAUUUCAGCAAGUGUUAACUGGAAAGAUACUGAUGCUGUAAGAGAUGUGGCCUUACUCUAACCCAGAAGAAAUUCUGUAGAUAAAACAGUAUCAUUUGGAACCACUACAGUUUUCCAUGCACUGUGCCUAUCAAAUACUACAUAGUGUGCCAGUGUGCUGGGAAUUAAAAUCUAACCAACAAAAACCAAGAGAAGAAAUAGGCAAUAACAAGAGAUAUACAGGUAAUCCAGGUAUUGGAUUUUUCAGACACAAACUUUAAAUUAGCUAUGAUUAAUGUGAGUAAACCAGUUUAUUCAUUUGAUUAGAAAUUGUAUUUGUAAUGGAGGUAUGAUGUGCAAAUUCACAUAUGUUGAUGGCCUACAAGAUGUUCAGUGAGUCUUGUGCUAUAAAAUUUUAUCUUCACAUUAACUCUCGAAGGGAUUAUUAGUAUCAUCUUAUUUAAAAAAAUUCAGAUUCAGUAAGGAUAUGUAUAUCAUUUAUCCUUUAAAAUAUACAAAAUACAUAAAAUUUACCUUGGAAUGAAAUAUUCAAUUCAAUGUAAAAAAGGACAAUUACUAUUUCAAGGAAAUUUUUAAAGUAAGAAAUAGAGAGUGCCAAGGUCUCUAUAAUACGAAAGAGUACUGCCAAAGAAAUGAAUCAGGUAUGGAAGAACCAAUGGAACAUGACAUAUUUUUUGAGCACUUACCAAUGGGACCAUAAUUGGGCAACCAAAAUUGGUUAUCUCAUCCUACCUGUGGGAGAAUUAAAGUCUGUGUACAAAACAUUCCCUUCGUUUCUCAUCAUGUUUAUUCCAGCCCUCCCCAGGGCCACUAAGCUAAAGAGAAUGAGGUGUUACUCAGAUCUGUCUUUAUUAGCAAAGUGAACACAGUUCAGGGAGUAGCCCAAUCUGUCUUUAUUAGCUCAGUGAACACAGUUCAGGGAGUAGCACCUCAGCUGAUCAACAAAUAUAAGAAUUGUUGACUAUUUCUACUCUCUGAACAUUGGCUCUGGCCAUAUAUUGUUUUCCUUCUAGUUCCUCUUCUAUUUUGGGGGAAAAUUAUUAUUUCACACAUUAUAAAGUUACUAUAAAAGCCACCAACUUAAUUUAAUACAUUGUGACCCUACUUCUUUGAUUGAUUUGUACAGAAAUGGGUACCUGGCCUUAGAAGGACCAUCUAUGAUUUUAUAAAAAAAAAAAAAAAAAAAAAAGGGGGGGAGAGAGAGAGAGAAAUCUAUUUCUUUGUCAACAAAAUGGAGUUUAGGUUAACUUUAAAAAUGCUGGCAACCAUGUUCUCCCAUAUAGCUUAGUCCAGCCAACUCUUGAAGACAGGCUGCGGGAAGAUGGGUAGGAGAAUAACUUUGAUAAGCACUAGUUAGUAAACCCAGAUGGAUUUCACAUAGAAAACACUCCUGUCCUACUUUUUGUAAAUUUUCACUUUUCUGUUUCUACUAAGCUCCUCCUCACUCCCUUGCCCACUUCUUUAUUAUCCCUUUUAAUCAUCCAAUUACCUCUGUAUAAAUCUGAGUUUGGUUCACACUGGACUCUGUUCCCUAUUGCAGCAGUAUAUAAGUGGUUAACAUCUAUCCUUACUACUUUAGCUGGGGACUGUCUUUGUUUAUUUUUGACAGUAGUUAAAAUAAAGACUUUUCUCUCAGAGCUUCUGGCA